rnacentral:rRNA from 1 species
UACAGAGGGUGCGAGCGUUGUCCGGAAUCACUGGGCGUAAAGGGCGCGUAGGUGGCCCGACAAGUCACUGGUGAAAGCUCGACGCUCAACGUCGAGUCGGCCAGUGAUACUGUCGGACUAGAGUACAGAAGGGGCAACUGGAAUUCUCGGUGUAGCGGUGAAAUGCGUAGAUAUCGAGAGGAACACCUGCGGCGAAGGCGGGUUGCUGGGCUGAUACUGACGCUGAGGCGCGGAAAGCCAGGGGAGCGAACGGG